AUUUUAUUAGUAUAAUAUGUAUAAUUGUUUUCCAAACAAUCGGUUUAAGUAGUUAGUUAAAUAAAGUA
rnacentral:tRNA from 1 species